rnacentral:rRNA from 1 species
CAAUAGCGUAUAUUAAAGUUGUUGCAGUUAAAAAGCUCGUAGUUGGACUUCUGAUUCGAAAGAUCGGUCCGCCGCAAGGCGAGCACUGAUUCUUCGAGUCUUCCUCUCGUAGUUGUUUGGCGCACUUGAUUGGGUGCCAGAUGAAUAUGGGACCUUUACUUUGAAAAAUUAGAGUGUUCAAAGCAGGCAAUCGCUUGAAUACAUUAGCAUGGAAUAAUAGAAUAGGACUUUGGUUCUAUUUUGUUGGUUUCUAGGACCGAGGUAAUGAUUAAUAGGGACAGUUGGGGGCGAUUAGUAUUUAAUUUGUUCAGAGGUGAAAUUACUUGGAUUUGUUAAAGACGGACUACUGCGAAAGCAUUUGUCCAAGGAUGUUUUCUAUUGAUCAAGAACGAAAGUUAGGGGA